AGACCAAGGGUUCCUGUCCAACGUUAAUCGGGGCAGGGUGAGUCGACCCCUAAGGCGAGGCCGAAAGGCGUAGUCGAUGGGAAACGGGUUAAUAUUCCCGUACUUGGUGUUACUGCGAAGGGGGGACGGAGAAGGCUAUGUUGGCCGGGCGACGGUUGUCCCGGUUUAAGCGUGUAGGUGUGUGUUCCAGGUAAAUCCGGUUCACUUUAACACUGAGGCGUGAUGACGAGGCACCACGGUGCUGAAGCAACAAAUGCCCUGCUUCCAGGAAAAGCCUCUAAGCAUCAGGUAACAUCAAAUCGUACCCCAAACCGACACAGGUGGUCAGGUAGAGAAUACCAAGGCGCUUGAGAGAACUCGGGUGAAGGAACUAGGCAAAAUGGUGCCGUAACUUCGGGAGAAGGCACGCUGACACGUAGGUGAAGUGAUUUACUCAUGGAGCUGAAGUCAGUCGAAGAUACCAGCUGGCUGCAACUGUUUAUUAAAAACACAGCACUGUGCAAACACGAAAGUGGACGUAUACGGUGUGACGCCUGCCCGGUGCCGGAAGGUUAAUUGAUGGGGUCAGCGCAAGCGAAGCUCCUGAUCGAAGCCCCGGUAAACGGCGGCCGUAACUAUAACGGUCCUAAGGUAGCGAAAUUCCUUGUCGGGUAAGUUCCGACCUGCACGAAUGGCGUAAUGAUGGCCAGGCUGUCUCCACCCGAGACUCAGUGAAAUUGAACUCGCUGUGAAGAUGCAGUGUACCCGCGGCAAGACGGAAAGACCCCGUGAACCUUUACUAUAGCUUGACACUGAACAUUGAGCCUUGAUGUGUAGGAUAGGUGGGAGGCUUUGAAGCGUGGACGCCAGUCUGCGUGGAGCCGACCUUGAAAUACCACCCUUUAAUGUUUGAUGUUCUAACGUGGACCCGUAAUCCGGGUUGCGGACAGUGUCUGGUGGGUAGUUUGACUGGGGCGGUCUCCUCCUAAAGAGUAACGGAGGAGCACGAAGGUUGGCUAAUCCUGGUCGGACAUCAGGAGGUUAGUGCAAUGGCAUAAGCCAGCUUGACUGCGAGCGUGACGGCGCGAGCAGGUGCGAAAGCAGGUCAUAGUGAUCCGGUGGUUCUGAAUGGAAGGGCCAUCGCUCAACGGAUAAAAGGUACUCCGGGGAUAACAGGCUGAUACCGCCCAAGAGUUCAUAUCGACGGCGGUGUUUGGCACCUCGAUGUCGGCUCAUCACAUCCUGGGGCUGAAGUAGGUCCCAAGGGUAUGGCUGUUCGCCAUUUAAAGUGGUACGCGAGCUGGGUUUAGAACGUCGUG
rnacentral:rRNA from 1 species